rnacentral:rRNA from 1 species
AUGUCCAACGGACUAACAUCUUCGGUGGCAGCAUGGUGGAACGAACGUGGUGGUUUGGUAGGAGUCAACAAGAAGGCCUAUAAUUCUUUGAAGAUGUUAGUCUGUUGGGCACUCUGGAAUGAGAGAAAUGUGAGGGUGUUUCACAACAAGGCCUCCUUGCCCACACACGUUGCGUCAAUCAAAGCGGAGGCGAAACUCUGGGUACUUGCAGGGGCAAAAUCUCUCGGUAGCAUUUUACCGGGAGAGUGA